UUGAUGAAGCAGCAGGAUGGGGACUGGACAUUAUGUAGUAAUCAGUCUUUUAUAUUUUUGAUCAGCCUGGAGACGACUGUUAUGACUCAUACAUGGAAGAAAGAGAUGGUAUUCUCUAUUCAAUGGCUAAGCAUGCAAAGAGCUGAAGGAGCAACGUAUCUACUUCCUCGGAUUAAUCUUCCUAGAAAGACUAAUGAAGCUGUAGAGGCUGUAAACACAGCACCAGAUGCUUCUACUGCAAACGCCUUCUUAAUGCCACUGGUGUAGACUGUGUAGUUGUUGUCCCUGGUUCUGGCUUCGGACAGAUGCACAAUCGUUGCUAAAGAAGACAAGGUUCCGGCUAUAGUGAAUCGCCUCAAAGAAUUCCAUAGAGCUUCAUGGACGAGUUCCGUGAUGAAGAAAGCACUGUGCCCCUUGAAGCGUCUAUGUUUGUUAAGUCAGGCCCUUGUGACUUGGCUAAACAGUUUAGCAGUUGAAUUGAACUGAAAUUGAUUCAUAAAUUAAUUUAAUUUUGAUUAGUCUUCCAAUGAUGUGAACAUUUUUGAAAAUUAUCAUCUAGCUUAUA